CGCUCCCUGUCUCUGUGCGGCACCCACUUCUCUCUCGCCGCUUUACGUAGGCAUUCGCACAUAUACGCACAUGCAUGCACACCAAACCAGCGCGCAUGCGGAACUGAAGUAGAUUGUCGAUUGCCAUGAUCCGCGUGCCGGGCAACUGGACUUGCGCCCAGUCUCCCUGCGCAUUCGUUGAGGUACGCGAUGAGUGCUAUCUGUGCCGCCUUGUGCCCGUCUUCACCGCCACACUUACGUACGAACUGGAAACUUCUGUCCGGGUGAACUUGCUAGAGGCGCGGCGCUUCGCGAGUCAGGACUUCGCCCUUGCAGAGACUCAUCAGGUUGUGUACGCGUCGUGCUCGAGCGGCAUCGAAUAUCGCCCCUGUGCUCCUGGCGACCGCUCGAGAGAGGCGAUGGUGAUCCGGUGUCCUGUAUUCCACUAUACGGCAAAGGAGGUGACAGUGGACGGGCCGCGACGUGCCGCCCGUGCGACCGCUGCUCAUAUCGCGGCCGCCCUUAUGGGACGCUACGUUGUCGUCGGGGCUCAGUUCCGCACCCUAGACGGUUUCUACACGGUGCGUCAAGUGACGCUACAGAAGGGUUAUCGCGGCAUAGCGCUUGUCAGCGGCGACUGCCGUGUGCGCGUGAAUGAUGCUCGGCGGGCCGGCAGCAGCAGCCUUGGCGGGAGAGGGGCAGCGCGGCCCAUUGGCCUCGAAAGUGAGACAGAUCAACUCCUGCAGCUGCUGGCGUGCGCCGACAAGUCCGUCGGUGCGAUUGUCGGUGUCAUGGCACGCGGCCCUCGAGGGUGUGGCGUUUCCAGCACGGUGAGGUAUGCUCUGGAAAGCGUUGCUGCCACGCACACGGUGCUAGGAUGGUCGAGCUGCUUCUCACCGUCAGAGGCAUUUCAAGAGGGGUGGGGUGGCACUGUGGUUCUGGUGGUCACUGACGCUGAGCACGUCUUUGCGGCGGCUGAGCCGGAGGUGGCCAAGCUUCAUUUGCGCAAGCUCCAGCGGGACGCUGCGGUUCUUCGCGGCGGAGGCAACGGUGCCGCCCGGUCGGUUGUGGUGCUGUGCGUCAGCCACGGCUACGGUCUCUGUGCGCCCGACGUACUGGACGAGCUCGUCGCCUUUCACCUUGUGUUUUACUUCCCUGGUGCGUUGCAGCGCGCAGUCUUGCUGGCCAGCGUGCGAGGCGGCAGCGCCAUGGACUGGCUGAGCGCUGCGCAGGGUCUCGUGGGACGGACAUGCGCGGAGACGCUGGAGGCGGCCCGGCGGCCGGACAUCGCCUCCGUUCUCCCCUUCAAGGCAGUGCGGUGGUCGGAGAUCGGCGGGCUGGCGGAGGUGAAGGACAGGCUGCAUCGCGCACUUGUGUGGCCGCAACAGCAGCCGGAGCGGAUGCAGCGCUUCCACAUCACCCCACCGCGCGGCAUCCUCCUCUAUGGCCCCCCAGGGUGUGCCAAGACGACGCUCAUUAAGGCGCUUUGUUCAGAAGGGAACUUCUCGCUCAUCUACCUGGACUCGGCGACCGUGUUGAGCGCGUAUGUGGGGGAGAGCGAGCGCUACCUGCGAGACGUCUUCACUCGCGCCCGCCGCCAGGCGCCGUGCAUUGUGUUCUUUGAUGAGGUGGAGGUGCUUGGCGGCCGCCGAGUCAGCGGCGGGCACGACAGCGAGCACGUGCGCCUCCUGUCGACCCUUCUCACCGAGAUGGACGGCUUCGCAGACAUCCACGGGGUCUGUUUUGUGGGGGCCACCAACGUGCCGCACCUCCUCGAUCCAGCGUUGAUGCGGCCUGGCCGGUUUGAUUACAUGGUACACGUUCCUCUGCCCACCUUGGCAGAUCGCGAGUCCAUUCUCCAACUGCUGCUGUGCAGAACCGCCGCUGACACCCGCAUCAUCGCGGAGCAGACGGAAGGUUUCAGCGGCGCGGACCUCAAGGUCUUCUGCUCCGAGGCUCUUUUAGCGUUGUUCAAAGAGUCUGCUGGUGUUCCACAGGUGCUGCAGGAGAGGGCCAGCGUGACAGCAUACCUGUUGCAGAAGGCGAGCGGCUUUAAGCGCACUCACUACGACUCGACCGCUCUAGACCAGUUUCAACGUGAGCACGCAUCUGCGUGAGCGUGGGAGACGGUGAAGAAAAGGCAGUUUGGCAUCAGCUCUGUAUCCACCCUGCCCCCUUCCCCCUUUUUCCUCCGCUCUUUGCGUAGGGACGCCGGCCAUUGCACUCUUCUCUUCGUUCCCUUGCCUCACCCCUGUUGCCCACACACCACAGACACGAGGGCGCACACGAACCGCUGCUCCUCAACGCUUCCUUUUUCGCCACCUUUUCCUUCUCCCCCGUUUGCCGUGCUGCAUUUCGGCGCAGCGACACGUACGACAUCGCGUAAGUAAUCCAUGACCGGAGUCUCUCUCACCCAGGCACAGUGCAGCACUGCAUGCACCAUCUAGGGCAUGAGGGCGGUGCGCGAGUGCGUCGCAGCACCUCAAGCUGGCUCGUGUGAGGACGAGUACGUUUUUCGUGUUGCUGCUUGGCAUGCGUUCCUUUGCUUCCCGAGUGGCCACGGUGCACCUCAGUGGUGCGCUGUUCCUUUCGUAAAUGCUGCUGCACGCGCAGACAGGGCCUCUC
rnacentral:misc_RNA from 1 species